AAGCAUGGGUCUGCUUGCUCCUCUGGGUGUGAGCCUUCCUUGCCAGCAAUGUGCCUAGGCAUGUAAUAAUGAUUUAUAGAGAAGACCAAGGCAAACAAGGCAACACGUUUGGAGGCAGAUCUGGUACAAGGCUUCCUUCUAAAAAUGGCCAUAGGCUUAUUCUCUUUUUGGGUCUAAAAUUACUAUGCAAAUGACUUCUCCGCAUCCCCAGCGCCUGCCUGCUACAUCUGAAAUGUGAUUCAGAAGUGACAGAGACGGAGAUCUAUGGUUUUAUUGGCAGCAGUGCAGGGAAAAGAGAUCCGAAGGAAACUGCUCUCGUUCUCAGCCCAGAAUCCUUGAAAUAGAGGUGAAGCACCCCUCUUGAAGAUACAGGAAGCUGAAUAAAAGGCAUCCUACAAAGGAAAAAGAGCAGAAAAUACGGUGCAAAAUGAAGAAUUUAGCAUUACUCUGUUAUGGGACUGCUGUAGAUGGUAUCUGUUUUACAGCUGUGGUAAAUCAGGUGGCUCUCAUGGGCUGCUGGUUGCCUUUGCUUUAUUCAGAUUGCUGGAUACAGAAUACACCCUGAAUCAACUGUGUCAUCUGUAAAGCUCCAGGCAGUCUGGGAAUGGACAAGCAACACAAACUCCUCCACACUUGCAUUCUGAAACAUCAGUGGCAGCAACGAGGUUUCUAGGAAUGCUCCUGAAAUCACAGUCAUUUCAUACAAGGAACCAACAGGAAUUAAUGGCAGAACUUGGACUUUAAUGCUGUCACGUGUACCCUCCCUACAGUGCACUGAUGGGGGGUGGCAAAUAUAGGAUAGACUCCUUCAAACAACACGUGGGCCCUCCAGUGGUGCUCACCAUGUCUCUGUGCUAAAGAAGGGAGGAAAACAGUGGUCCAAGCAGCAACGUGAAGCAAGCACAGAUAGGCUGGUGCUUCAUGGAGUCCCCAGCAACUUGUUCAGGAA